rnacentral:lncRNA from 1 species
UAAGAAAAAAAAAGGUAAAACGGAAAAAAUAUAUUGAAUUAUUCACCCGUUAUGGUCUAAAUCUUUUUUGCAAUACUUUUUUUUUUACAAUUCUUCUUCUCUCCCUAAAUUUUUAUUCAAUUACAAUCCCUAAACCCCCAAAUAAACAUAAUUUUUGAUAAAUAAAAUGUCUAGAUUCUAAACCUUUUUCAGCAUAAAUACAAAGAAAUAUAGGCAAAAACAUUAUCUCUUUCCAAAAAAAAUUAUUUUAUCAUCCAAGGUUGAGAAUUAAUAUUUUAUAUAUGUUCCCUCAAGAAUGCCAUGGGCAUUAAUUCCCCCUCCUCAUAUUCUAUAUUGGUUCCCCACCCUUUUGUCAAAUCCAGCACGAGAUCUUAGAGUCAGACUCACUCCAAGCACUAUAACCUCACUAGUAUAAUUACUGGUACCACUACUGCUAGUUCCCUCAAAGAAUCAAUCGAGUCACUAUUUGUAGAUAUAAAUUUGAGAGCCAUUUUCUAAUUGCAAAUGGGUAAGGAUAUGAUGGAGUUAGCAUAUGCGAGAGAGUUCAAGGGAUUGAAGACCCUAAUUUUGCAAGAAAAUCAAAAUGCAUAUUAUGUCCAUUGUCUUUGCUCAUCAGCCAGUUGGCUCUUGUAGCUGGGGCAAAUAAACAUUAGAUUUUCUUGUUUUUUUUAAUUGGAUUUUCAAUGUACUGAAUGUUGUUGGAGAGUUCAAUGUAGGCGUCAUGAUGCUCUUCUUGCGAUACAAGCGCUGAAGUUUUAAUAAAGCACUAAUGCUGGUAAACUUGAAGUGGGCGAGGCUUGAAUCAAGAGUCCCCCCCCCAACCUUGCACUUCCUUCUGAUACAACACGUUGGAGCUCACAUUAUGAAACUUUGAUCAGCUUCAUUAAAAUGUUUCCAUCUAUAAUUGGUGUGCUUGAAAAAUUCGUGAAGAUGGGGAUGGAGAUAAUAAUGUUGUAUGUCGAAUGGUCUUUUUGUUAAAUACUCCAACAAUUUGAUUUUGUUUUCAUCUUCAUUUGAUGAAAACAUACUUCAAUCACAAAUGAGUUUGUCACAAGCCAAUGCAGGGAGAGCCAAGAUAUUGUUAAUAUGGCUAUGCAUUUGGUUUAAAUUUUAAGAACACUACUCACAGUGUAUUAAGAUGAUGGUUGGAAUUCUUUCCUUAGUCCACUUACAUUCUUUUGUGGCAAGUAUGAUAUACAUGAUGCCAUAUGAAGGGGAUGAUCUAGCUGCAAGUCGAAAAAAAAAUUUUGACGGUGAAGUUACUAUAUUACUCAUUAUGUGUUGAAUUGUUUCUACACGGUGCUAGACUGCAGCUUCAAACUAAAUGACCGUUUCCACUGUCACAACUACCGAAUUACUAGUUUGUGUGGCUGUUUAAGUCCUAUGGAUUUAUUUUCUUCGCCUUGAUAAGAGCAGAAACUUAUCCGCUUGCCCCUUUUAUCCAAAUGAGUUUUUCCACCAUGAUGUAUGGUUCUUGAGUCACUUGAUUCAUAUGUUUAUGAUAUGUGGCCAUAAGUAUUUACUUUGUGGUUUUUAGAGGACUUGGUGAAUUGGCUCACAAUUGGUUGCAGACGAAAAGAAUUGCAGUAUAUCCAUUAAUUUAUCCGCGUUACUAAACUACAUUGGGUUUAAUAACCCCGUUGGCAACGCAUCAGUUUUCCAGAGCAUUCUCAGCUUUGAAGAUCGUGAAGAAGUCGUUUUGUGCAAUCGAAUAGGAGAUCAAUUUUUAUAAUGAUAGUCCUGCUUGUUUACUUUGGACAAAAAACAGGUUUUAACCGACAUUAGUAAUGAUGCUAUCAUUGAUCGUUUUCAGAAAAUGAAAGCCGUCAUGGGCAAUUGUAAAGGUAACAAUGUUAACUCUUAAUAUAGUCAAUUUUCUUUUCUGUCGACUUACACUUUUCGAUUUUGUGCCCCGCCUGAAUCCAUCAUAUUUCUGAAUCCGCCCCUGCCUGAAGUCUCUCACACAUACAUUUAUUUAUUUAUAAUUUCUGAAAAAUAUAAAUGCUACAGUCACCGAUAAUUCUACUAGUUUUGUUAUCGAUAAAACCAAAACGACGUCGUUUUAGUGCAAAAAAAUCAAAACGAUGUCGUUCAACUAAAUUCAUUCUUACUGGAAAAAAACUAAAAGUUAUUUUACUACCCAAAACGAUGUCGUUUUAAUUCCAUCGGUAACAAAAUCUGUAGAACUAUCGGUGACGGUAGCAUUUCUGUUUCUGAAAUAAUAUUAAUUUUUUUUUUUAUAUAAAAUUAUUAUUAAAAAAUAUUGAAGCUAAGUUUUUUGAAAAAAUAAGAUUACCCGUAUGUGUAGAGUUUUUUUUUUCUCAAUACACAAAUUAAAAUAAUAAAUAUUUUCUUUUUUUAAUAAAAAAUCCACAAUAAAGUUUAGUUUUAUGUAUAUUUAGAUUAGGAGCACUUAGAAAGUAAAAUAUUUAGAUCAAUUUUUUAAAAAAUUGAUAGCAAAAUUUUAUUUUGUAAGUAUAUUUUGAUUAGGAGUACUUAAAAGCAAACUAUUUAGAUCAAUUCUUUUUUAAAAAUUAUUUUUUGAUAAAAAAAUAAAAAUAUAUAUAUUAUAAAUAAAUGUUGCUUUGAGAAAAAAAUUUAUUUAUUUAUUUUAAUAGGUAUAUUGAGAGAGAGAAUUGUAAUCCCUACAUUUAAGAGAAAUAUUAUUAUUUUUGCACAAAAAUUAGCUCUUAAUAAAAUCUUAAAAAUAAUUUUAAAAAUAAUAAAAAUAAUUUUAAAAAUAAUAAAAAUAAGUACUAAUUUUAAAACUACAGCAAAUGUAAGGUCAUUGAAAUUUAGCCUUUAUAUUUUGAACCCAUCUAAAAAGGGGAAGCCCGGUAUAUUUUGUACAAUUCUUAAAGACACUACCAGAGCAUCAAAGUUAAGGUGAAAUACAAAAUUGUAUACCUUACCAUUUUCCCAAUUUCCUGAGGUUUCAAAAACAUGGCUCCCCCUUUUGCAAAUAUAUAUAUAUACAUAUAUAUAAAAACCUCGGGAAAUUAGAAAAAUGGUAAGGUAUACAAUUUUGUAUUUCACCUUAUACCUUACCAUUUUUCCAAUUUCCCGAGAUUUCAAAAACAUGGCUUCCCCUUUUGCAAACAAUAUAUAUAUAAUCUCUCUAUCCUAAUUUUUUUUCAUUUUCAAUUCACUUUCAAUCUCUUGAAAAUAGACAAACAAAUUAGGACGGAAGAAAUACAAAAUAAUUUUAUAGAAAAGAUAUGGUUGUGUUGUGGGAAUAAGUAUUUGUUACAGCAUUAGGCGAUCAUUCAUAGUGUUAUCGACUAGUAGGAAAGAACUAAGACGGAGAUAUUCUUUGACCAAAGAUGCUCAUGUCCCAGUCUCGUUAAGGUUUUAAAAAAAAUUACCAUGUAGCCUUCAAAUUCACAUGGUUUACUCCGAUGUACAUUGAAGAGGCCCAAAUAUAUCACAUGCAAAUAAACAACAUCAAUCCAAUUGAUCAUUUGUUUUGAAUUGAGAUGAUCUUUUUUAUUAAAAGGUAUUAAAGAUAUCUAUAUUAUACCAUCCAACAAAUUGCAUAAAAAAUGAAAAUAUAAUCAAUUAAAUCCCAAGAAUCCCUUUAUAUAGUCCAAAAAGUUUCUAAAAUAAUUGAAAAUAUCAUUAAAAAAUAAUUACAUGGAUUCAUUAGUUGUUCUUAUUAUGACUUUUUAUAAUGCAUGUAUAACAAAUUAUAUGUGAGUAGUGACAAACGAAAGCUAUUUUUAUUUUGUUUUAAAACAUUUAUACUACCCCCUCCUAGGAGAAAUUUUUGAGUACGUAACUUGAGGAUUAUUUAAUACUUUCGGAGUAAUUAUGGUGCCCAUUUGCACUUGGUACUGUUCUAACCAAUUUUUUUUAAAACAACACCCGAUCGGACCGGCCGGUUUCGCGUUUGAACCGUCGAUCGGCCGAGAAACGUUCCCGGUCAACCCCUUUAACCUGUGAGUAUAUUGAACCGGACUGAACCCCGGCACAACCCCGGUUCAACCCGAAACUCGUCGAGACCCGGAACGGUUUUUCCGACCGCCGCAGGUGACUCGGGAGAGGAGAAGAGUGAGAGAGGAGUGGAUUCGGCGCCGGUGCAGAGGAAGACGAGUAGAAGAGGGGUGAUUCGGUGGUGGAUUCCGGUGCCUAGCCAUCGUGGUAGCACAUCUUUGCACGGUGGUUGAUUCGAAUGCCGGUGGUGGUGGCCGACGGCGAGAGCUGAAGGUUGAUAACACCGAGAGCGAGAGAGAGAGAGAGGCGUAAUGAGAACGGUAGGAACUAGGAGCUUGAGCUCUGAGACUUGACUCUGGAUUAUGAAGUCUGAGACUCUGAAGACAGCAAGAAUAGAGAGGCGGAUUUGGAUAUUGGAAUUGUGUAUGGGUUUUUUAAUUUUAAAAUAAUUACACUUUAGAACCCCUAAUAAUUUUAAUUAAAUAUCUUGACUCACAAGUUUAAAUUAUUAUAAUUAGAAACCCUAAUCAUAAUUAUUUUUAUUUAUUAUCUAUUUAUACAAUCUUUAGAGACGUCACGGUUCGAUAACGGUUUUCAAUACGGUUGAACCCACCGUUGAACCGGUGACCCAUGACCCGUGUCUUUUUCCGUUCAAAAUCCCCGGUUUUCCGAUUUUUUAAAACAUUGGCUUCUAACUAAUAUGUCACGAUAAAAUUUUCGGAUGCUUACAUUUUAAAAAGUUAAAAACAAAAGGUAACACCUAAUAUGUACGUUGCGAUUAGUUAUUAAUUAGGAGUAUCAUGUAAACAAUUCCAUUGAUACCCUCCCCUAUUUGAAGGUUACUUGUUCUUAUACAAUCAUAUUAUAAUCACAACUCAUUUGACCUCAAAUCUAUCUCUCCGCGAUAACGUUGAAAUUCAUUUGAGUAAUCCAACGGUUGAGAUUUAAUUUUAGAUUAUUUUUUUUCCUAAAAAUUAUCACUUUUUUCUUCUUAAAAGGUAUGGGACCACAUAAAUUUUUAUCUAAUGGACAAAAAAUCUUUAAAGAUGAGUAUAUAUUUUACCCAU